UACGAAGGGGGCUAGCGUUGUUCGGAAUUACUGGGCGUAAAGCGUAUGCAGGCGGAUCUUUUAAGUCGGGGGUGAAAUCCUGAGGCUCAACCUCAGAACUGCCUUCGAUACUGGAGAUCUUGAGUCCGGGAGAGGUGAGUGGAACUGCGAGUGUAGAGGUGAAAUUCGUAGAUAUUCGCAAGAACACCAGUGGCGAAGGCGGCUCACUGGCCCGGUACUGACGCUGAGAUACGAAAGCGUGGGGAGCAACAGGG
rnacentral:rRNA from 1 species